CCUACGGGUGGCAGCAGUGAGGAAUAUUGGUCAAUGGACGAGAGUCUGAACCAGCCAAGUAGCGUGAAGGAUGACUGCCCUAUGGGUUGUAAACUUCUUUUAUAAAGGAAUAAAACGAGGCACGUGUGCCUUUUUGCAUUUACUUUCUGUAUAAGGAUCGGCUAACUCCGUGCCAGCAGCCGCGGUAAUACGGAGGAUCCGAGCGUUAUGCGGAUGUAUGGGGUUGAAAGGGAGCGUAGAUGGGUUGUUAAGUCAGAUGUGAAAGGUUGCGGCUCAACCGUAAAAUUGCCAUUGAUACUGGCAGUCUUGAGUACCGUUGAGGUAGGCGGCAUUCGUGGUGUAGCGGUGAAAUGCUUAGAUAUC
rnacentral:rRNA from 1 species